rnacentral:miRNA from 1 species
GGUCUUGAUGACCGGAAGGAAUCCCUUCCGGUCAUCAAAUGGUCUUGAUGACCGGAAGGGAUUCCUUCUGGUCAUCAAAAUU